UACGGAGGAUCCAAGCGUUAUCCGGAUUUAUUGGGUUUAAAGGGUGCGUAGGCGGCUUAUUAAGUCAGUGGUGAAAGCCUACAGCUUAACUGUAGAAUUGCCAUUGAUACUGAUGAGCUUGAAUAUACUUGAGGUGGGCGGAAUGUGUCAUGUAGCGGUGAAAUGCUUAGAUAUGACACAGAACACCGAUUGCGAAGGCAGCUCGCUAAAGUAUGAUUGACGCUGAUGCACGAAAGCGUGGGGAGCAAACAGG
rnacentral:misc_RNA from 1 species